GAUGAACGCUGGCGGCGUGCUUAACACAUGCCAGUCGAACGGAAAGGCCCAAGCUUGCUUGGGUACUCGAGUGGCGAACGGGUGAGUAACACGUGGGUGAUCUGCCCUACACUUCGGGAUAAGCCUGGGAAACUGGGUCUAAUACCGGAUAGGACCACAUUUUGGAUGGUGUGGUGGAAAGUUUUUCGGUGUGGGAUUAGCUCGCGGCCUAUCAGCUUGUUGGUGGGGUAAUGGCCUAACAAGGCGUCGACGGGUAGCCGGGCUGAGAGGGUGUACGGCCACAUUGGGACUGAGAUACGGGCCAGACCCCUACGGGAGGGAGCAGGGGGGAAUAUUGCAACAUGGGGGCAAGCCUGAUGCAGGGAAGCCGGGGGGGGGAAGACGGGCUUCGGGUUGUAAACUCUCUUCGCUAGGGACGAAACGUUAUGUGACGGUACCUGCAGAAGAAGCACCGGCUAACUACGUG
rnacentral:rRNA from 1 species